UACGUAGGGGGCUAGCGUUGUCCGGAAUCAUUGGGCGUAAAGCGCGUGUAGGCGGCCCGAUAAGUCCGCUGUGAAAGUCCAGGGCUCAACCCUGGGAUGCCGGUGGAUACUGUCGGGCUCGAGUCCUGGAGAGGGUGGCGGAAUUCUCGGUGUAGAGGUGAAAUUCGUAGAUAUCGAGAGGAACACCGGUGGCGAAGGCGGCUACCUGGACAGUGACUGACGCUGAGACGCGAAAGCGUGGGGAGCAAACAGG
rnacentral:rRNA from 1 species